UACAGAGGUCUCAAGCGUUGUUCGGAUUCAUUGGGCGUAAAGGGUGCGUAGGCGGCGCGGUAAGUCGGGUGUGAAAUUUCGGAGCUUAACUCCGAAACUGCAUUCGAUACUGCCGUGCUUGAGGACUGGAGAGGAGACUGGAAUUUACGGUGUAGCAGUGAAAUGCGUAGAUAUCGUAAGGAAGACCAGUGGCGAAGGCGAGUCUCUGGACAGUUACUGACGCUGAGGCACGAAGGCCAGGGGAGCAAACGGG
rnacentral:rRNA from 1 species